UUCCACUGUAACUGUGCCUUUUUGUGACAUGCAGGGGAUCCAUGCUGGUUGAUGAUGGGAAAACUUCAGGAGUGUCACGUGGAGCACGUGGAAGCAUCUCAUGUCAAUACCACGUUUUUAGCUGACUCUUUCUUCUGAAAUCUCUUGUGGAUCCUUGGGUACCAGCAUCUUUAGAUUUUGUAAUUUGUUCCUUCCUACUCCACUCAAGCACUAACUCAAGUAGAAUCCAAAGUCAAAUUUGGAUUUACAGGACAGUAGUUCCUGUCUUCCUUUACACAGCCUUGACGUUUUUCUAUUGACUGUUACAGCCUGUAGAUGAGCUAUCGUUUUUGAACGUGCAGAAAGACACAGUCAGACAACAGGACAGGACCGGCUCUCUUGUGCAACUGCUGCAACUGCGAAAGAUUUUAGAGAAAGAAUAAACUUCUUACCGAGCAGAAUAUACAUCUCCUGGCUUUCCAUUGCCUUCAAUAACAGGAGUCUGUGAGCAAGUGAAGAACUGAGCAGUAAUGUGAAGAGAGCACAAAAGCAGUAAUUUGCCUUUGUGGUCACCCUUUACUCCACGCCAUUCUGGACAGUUCUACUGAAAUGAUGAUUAUAUAGUGGUGACUAUGCGGCACCAAGAGGACAGCUAAGUGCUUCAAUUUGUCAGAAUAUUCUCUACAUUUUUUAGUUCUGCAGUUCUAUGUAGGUUUUUCUAAAUGAGCUGUGACUGAGGGAAGUACAAAAAUUAACUGGGUCUCUUCAGGAUAUAAGAUGUAAAAUUAAAGCGAUCAGAAAGAAGAAACCACGUUUCUCACAGCCAAAGGCUCAACUUCUGUCACUUCAGUGCUGGGCUCUCUCCACCAUUGUCUGCCCUCGGAAUUAGACUCCAGUUGCCGUUUUCUGAAGUACCUCAUUGACUACAGUUUAAAUUUUCCUUGUAUAUGAUUUGAAAAGCCUGGCUAUACUUUCUGUUCACCCCAGCCAUAUCAUUUUCAAUGACUCCUUUAUUCUGAAAUUAAUGACAGUGCAUACUUUGGGGUCCUGUUGUACAGAUCCUAGUAAAAAUUGACGUCAGACUGCUCUAGUCAAC
rnacentral:lncRNA from 1 species